UUUUUUUUAACCCUCCAAAAAGUCUAUUACCAAUUCUAUCUUCUGCCUUUGUCUCUCCUGUGGUCUCUUCAUCUCUCCUCUCUCAUACGGUCAUACCUCCAUUUUCUCUUUCCUUUCUACUUUUAACAUUUCUCUGGGCAAAGCUCACACCUAAAUAAUGGAGCUUACCUCUUUUGCUGCUAGAAUUACGUGACUUCUCUAAUGGAAGCGGCUUCUGACCUCGGUUCUUCCGCAGUUGAUCAUAGUUUUCUAGCGAACUCUUUCUCUCUCCUCAGUAAUCGAGCUUAGCUUUCUGUUUCUCCCUCCUGCAAGAUGACGGGACUUCUUUAAUGGAAGCAAGAGGGUUUUAAUUCUCCUCCCUUUUUUCUAUGAUUUGGAUUUUUUUUUUUUUUUUUUGGUAUAGGGCUUUAAAAUUCUUUUGGUUUUUCUGGUGUUUUUUUUUUGUUCUAUAAUAUAGUUAGGGUUUGGGUGUUUUAUUUUCAGUUUGAUCUAGGAUUUCUGAUUAUUUUUAUAGAUUACCUAAUUGAUUAGUUUUGUUUCUAAAUUUUUAUUGAUUUAGGGUUUCUGAUGAGUUUUGCUUUUGGUUUGUUGCUUAUCAGGAGCAGUUCGGCCUAAUUCAUGUGAUGAAAUUCGGAAUAGGCAUGCGAGCAAAUAGAUGGAGUUUGGUUGAAUCCGGAAUAUGACACCAAAAUGAUUAUCUAAAUCCUUUCCAUGCUUAUGAUGAAGGAAACCUUUCAUGGCUGGCCGCAGCAGAAGCAGAGCCUGCCACCAUGUCAAUUACUAGAAGAGCUAUACUUGAUGCUGCUUCCCUGGAUGAAACAAUUGAAAUAGUACGUGGGAAUUGGCUUCGAGUAAUUGAGCAACAUCAUCUAGAAUGCUCUGGUAAUUCUGUAGUUGCGGACAUCUUAGACUUAGGAUGUUUUGUAGGUUGGAGCACAAGAUUUCUGGCUAACAAAUUUCCUUCUGCUAAUGUUACUGGGUUGGACUUGUCACCUUAUUUUUUUUUGUUGCUCAAUCAAAGAGAAAAAUGGAUCAUCAAGUGGAAAAUGCAUAAAGUGGGUUCACGCAAAUGGUGAAGAUACAGGUUUGCUGGCCAAGUCAUUUGACAUUGUCUCAAUUGCUUAUGUUUAUACAGUGAAGAACUUUCAGUUUGCUUUGACAGUUGAACUCGAAAAUGCAAAGAUAGUGGAGAAAUUGGCAUGGGCUCUGAACCACUGAAAUGCUGACUUGCCUGCUAUUCCGCCAACCAUUGCGGAGGGGAUUGAAACUAACCCAUUUAUUUGUGUUGCACAUUAUUCCUCUUCAGUUUAGGAGUUAUUUAUGUUAUCAUAAAAAGUGUUUAAGUUGUCAGAUUUCUCUUUAGAAACCUUUCUUUUUUGGAUAUUUGGUCGAAUGUGAAGUGCUCCAAGUCUCUGUCAGUAUUCUUAGACACAUGAUAUGCAGGCUUCAUUCUUUUUAUCAAAAGCCCCUUGUCCGAACUUGUAUUUCAUUAUGGAAUAAACUUGGCUGCCCAUAUGUAACCUCCCCAUUUUAAAGAACUUGGCCAUAAGUGUACAAACAAGAAUCACAUCUCACAUUGACAUGAA